GAUGAACGCUGGCGGCGUGCCUAACACAUGCAAGUCGAACGAACCAGAUUCGGAUUCUUCGGAUGACGGAGAUGGUUAGUGGCGGAUGGGUGAGUAACACGUAGGUGACCUACCCCGAUGUGGGGAAUAACCAUUGGAAACGAUGGCUAAUACCCCGUGUGAUCGACGAUUCGAUUUGUCGAUUAAAGCUUCGGCGUGUCGGGAGGGGCCUGCGGCCCAUCAGGUAGUUGGUAGGGUAAUGGCCUACCAAGCCGAUGACGGGUAGCUGAUCUGAGAGGAUGAUCAGCCACACUGGAACUGAAACACGGUCCAGACUCCUACGGGAGGCAGCAGUGGGGAAUUUUGCGCAAUGGACGAAAG
rnacentral:rRNA from 1 species